AUUGAACGCUGGCGGCAGGCUUAACACAUGCAAGUCGAACGAGCGGCGGACGGGUGAGUAUUGUCUGGGAAACUGCCUGAUGGAGGGGGAUAACUCCUGGAAACGGUAGCUAAUACCGCAUACCAUCAGAUGUGCCCAGAUGGGAUUGGCUAGUAGGUGGGGUAAUGGAUAACUUAGGCGACGAACCCUAGCUGGUCUGAGAGGAUGACCAGCCAAACUGGAACUGAGACCAGGUCCAGACUCCUACGGGAGGCAGCAGUGGGGAAUAUUGCACAAUGGGCGCAAGCCUGAUGCAGCCAUGCCGCGUGUGUGAAGAAGGCCUUCGGGUUGUAAAGCACUUUCAGCGAGGAGGCGUUACUCGCAGAAGAAGCACCGGCUAACUCCGUGCCAGCAGCCGCGGUAAUAC
rnacentral:rRNA from 1 species